GACGAACGCUGGCGGCGCGCUUAACACAUGCAAGUCGAACGGAAAGGCCUGCUUUCCCUUGUGGAUUGCGGGUACUCGAGUGGCGAACGGGUGAGUAACACGUGAGUGAUCUGCCCCCAACUUGGGUAUAAGCCUGGGAAACUGGGUCUAAUUCCCGAUAGGACUGCAGGGUGGUGCCUGUGGUGGAAAACGAUUUUCUAGUGGUUGGGGAUGAGCUCGCGGCCUAUCAGCUUGUUGGUGGGGUAAUGGCCUACCAAGGCGGCGACGGGUAGCCGGCCUGAGAGGGUGGACGGCCACAUUGGGACUGAGAUACGGCCCAGACUCCUACGGGAGGCAGGAGUGGGGAAUAUUGCACAAUGGGCGGAAGCCUGAUGCAGCGACGCCGCGUGGGGGAUGACGGCCUUCGGGUUGUAAACUCCUUUCGACCGCGAGGAAGCCACCUGGUUGGAAGGGUGGUGACGGUAGUGGUAGAAGAAGCACCGGCUAACUACGUG
rnacentral:rRNA from 1 species